CACCUACGGGAGGCAGCAGUGGGGAAUAUUGCACAAUGGGGGGAACCCUGAUGCAGCGACGCCGCGUGAGUGAAGAAGUAUUUCGGUAUGUAAAGCUCUAUCAGCAGGGAAGAAGAUGACGGUACCUGACUAAGAAGCCCCGGCUAACUACGUGCCAGCAGCCGCGGUAAUACGUAGGGGGCAAGCGUUAUCCGGAUUUACUGGGUGUAAAGGGAGCGUAGACGGCAGGGCAAGUCUGGAGUGAAAGCCCGGGGCCCAACCC
rnacentral:rRNA from 1 species